rnacentral:rRNA from 1 species
GACGAACGCUGGCGGCGUGCUUAACACAUGCAAGUCGAACGGAAAGGCCCUGCUUUUGUGGGGUGCUCGAGUGGCGAACGGGUGAGUAACACGUGAGUAACCUGCCCUUGACUUUGGGAUAACUUCAGGAAACUGGGGCUAAUACCGGAUAGGAGCUCCUGCUGCAUGGUGGGGGUUGGAAAGUUUCGGCGGUUGGGGAUGGACUCGCGGCUUAUCAGCUUGUUGGUGGGGUAGUGGCUUACCAAGGCUUUGACGGGUAGCCGGCCUGAGAGGGUGACCGGCCACAUUGGGUCUGAGAUACGGCCCAGACUCCUACGGGAGGCAGCGGUGGGGAAUAUUGCACAAUGGGCGGAAGCCUGAUGCAGCACCGCCGCGUGCGGGAUGACGGCCUUCGGGUUGUAAUCCGCUUUCGCCUGUGACGAAGCGUGAGUGACGGUAAUGGGUAAAGAAGCACCGGCUAACUACGUG